AUUGAACGCUAGCGGGAUGCUUUACACAUGCCAGUCGAACGGCAGCGCGGACUUCGGUCUGGCGGCGAGUGGCGAACGGGUGAGUAAUGUAUCGGAACGUGCCCAGUAGCGGGGGAUAACUACGCGAAAGCGUAGCUAAUACCGCAUACGCCCUACGGGGGAAAGCAGGGGAUCGUAAGACCUUGCACUAUUGGAGCGGCCGAUAUCGGAUUAGCUAGUUGGUGAGGUAACGGCUCACCAAGGCGACGAUCCGUAGCUGGUUUGAGAGGACGACCAGCCACACUGGGACUGAGACACGGCCCAGACUCCUACGGGAGGCAGCAGUGGGGAAUUUUGGACAAUGGGGGCAACCCUGACCCAGCCAUCCCGCGUGUGCGAUGAAGGCCUUCGGGUUGUAAAGCACUUUUGGCAGGAAAGAAACGUCGCGGGCUAAUACCCCGUGGAACUGACGGUACCUGCAGAAUAAGCACCGGCUAACUACGUG
rnacentral:rRNA from 1 species